rnacentral:rRNA from 1 species
AGAGUUUGAUCCUGGCUCAGGACGAACGCUGGCGGCGCGCCUAACACAUGCAAGUCGAACGAGCGAGAGAGAGCUUGCUUUCUCGAGCGAGUGGCGAACGGGUGAGUAACGCGUGAGGAACCUGCCUCAAAGAGGGGGACAACAGUUGGAAACGACUGCUAAUACCGCAUAAGCCCACGGCUCGGCAUCGAGCAGAGGGAAAAGGAGUGAUCCGCUUUGAGAUGGCCUCGCGUCCGAUUAGCUAGUUGGUGAGGUAACGGCCCACCAAGGCGACGAUCGGUAGCCGGACUGAGAGGUUGAACGGCCACAUUGGGACUGAGACACGGCCCAGACUCCUACGGGAGGCAGCAGUGGGGAAUAUUGCACAAUGGGGGAAACCCUGAUGCAGCGACGCCGCGUGGAGGAAGAAGGUCUUCGGAUUGUAAACUCCUGUUGUUGAGGAAGAUAAUGACGGUACUCAACAAGGAAGUGACGGCUAACUACGUGCCAGCAGCCGCGGUAAAACGUAGGUCACAAGCGUUGUCCGGAAUUACUGGGUGUAAAGGGAGCGCAGGCGGGAAGACAAGUUGGAAGUGAAAUCUAUGGGCUCAACCCAUAAACUGCUUUCAAAACUGUUUUUCUUGAGUAGUGCAGAGGUAGGCGGAAUUCCCGGUGUAGCGGUGGAAUGCGUAGAUAUCGGGAGGAACACCAGUGGCGAAGGCGGCCUACUGGGCACCAACUGACGCUGAGGCUCGAAAGUGUGGGUAGCAAACAGGAUUAGAUACCCUGGUAGUCCACACCGUAAACGAUGAUUACUAGGUGUUGGAGGAUUGACCCCUUCAGUGCCGCAGUUAACACAAUAAGUAAUCCACCUGGGGAGUACGACCGCAAGGUUGAAACUCAAAGGAAUUGACGGGGGCCCGCACAAGCAGUGGAGUAUGUGGUUUAAUUCGACGCAACGC